rnacentral:rRNA from 1 species
UUUCGCAAUGCCCGAAAGGGUGACGAAGCGACGCCGCGUGAGUGAGGAAGGCCUUCGGGUUGUAAAGCUCUGUCAGGAGUUAAGAAAUAUAAGUGUGUUAAUACCACAUUUAUUUGACGAAGGCUCCAAAGGAAGCCACGGCUAACUCUGUGCCAGCAGCCGCGGUAAUACAGAGGUGGCAAGCGUUGUUCGGAAUUAUUGGGCGUAAAGAGCACGUAGGUGGGUUUGUAAGUCAGAUGUGAAAGCCUUCUGUUCAACGGAAGAAUUGCAUCUGAAACUGCGAGUCUUGAGUGUAGGAGGGGAGAAUGGAACUUCUGGUGGAGCGGUGAAAUGCGUAGAUACCAGAAGGAACGCCGGCGGCGAAAGCGAUUCUCUGGCCUAUUACUGACACUCAGUGUGCGAAAGCUAGGGGAGCAAACGGGAUUAGAUACCCCGGUAGUCCUAGCUGUAAACGAUGGGCACUAAGUAGAGGGGUUUUA